rfam:Ornithorhynchus anatinus chromosome 3, whole genome shotgun sequence.
CCCCUCUCAGGAUCAUACCUGGGGAGUUUGCGGUAUGCUACCAGUCUCGACUUUGGGAGGGAGAGUCAAGCAGAGGCCUAACCAUUUCAUUCCUAGCUUGGGCAAUAGCUAGCGAGUGGAAGGCCAUCUGCUACAAGU